rnacentral:rRNA from 1 species
GAUAAACGCUAGCGGCAGGCUUAACACAUGCAAGUCGAGGGGCAGCAUAGAUUGUAGCAAUACAAUUGGUGGCGACCGGCGCACGGGUGCGUAACGCGUAUGCAACCUACCCGUCACAGGGGGAUAAUCCGGAGAAAUCUGGUCUAAUACCCCAUAACAUAUGGAUCGGCAUCGGUUCAUGUUGAAAUUUUCGGAGGUGACGGAGGGGCAUGCGUAGCAUUAGCUUGUUGGUGAGGUAACGGCUCACCAAGGCGACGAUGCUUAGGGGGACUGAGAGGUUUUCCCCCCACACUGGUACUGAGACACGGACCAGACUCCUACGGGAGGCAGCAGUGAGGAAUAUUGGUCAAUGGGCGCAAGCCUGAACCAGCCAUGCCGCGUGCAGGAUGACGGCUCUAUGAGUUGUAAACUGCUUUUGUACGAGGGUAAAGUGGGUUACGUGUAACCUUUUGAAAGUAUCGUACGAACAAGGAUCGGCUAACUCCGUGCCAGCCGCCGCGGUAA